CAGACUCUCCCUAGAGCUGCAGUUCCAGAAGAGACUGGAGGAGUUCCAGCAGAAUGGUGAAGAGGAUGAUGAUUAUGAGAGCGAUUCGGGGGCAGGACGGAAGUGGUUUCAGACAGGAAGUGAUGUAGUGCGGAACUGUGAAAACACUGAAACGCCCGCUGACCAGCAAAAGGAAAGCCCCUUUACUAAAGAAGCCAGUUUGAAAGACGGAGUCAAAGGUGAAUCUACAGGAUACGACAAAACGUCAUCUGAGAAGUUCCGUUCUGGGUAAGUCUCAA